CUACGGGGUGCUGCAGUGAGGAAUAUUGCACAAUGGAGGAAACUCUGAUGCAGCAACGCCGCGUGGAGGAUGACGCAUUUCGGUGUGUAAACUCCUUUUAUAUGUCAAGAAAAUGACGGUAGCAUAUGAAUAAGCACCAGCUAACUCCGUGCCAGCAGCCGCGGUAAUACGGAGGGUGCAAGCGUUACUCGGAAUCACUGGGCGUAAAGGACGCGUAGGCGGGAUAUCAAGUCAGGUGUGAAAUCCUACAGCUUAACUGUAGAACUGCACUUGAAACUGGUAACCUAGAGUAUGGGAGGGGGAGAUGGAAUUAGUGGUGUAGGGGUAAAAUCCGUAGAUAUCACUAGGAAUACCUAAAGCGAAGGCGAUCUCCUGGAACAUAACUGACGCUAAGGCGUGAAAGCGUGGGGAGCAAACAGGAUUAGAUACCCGAGUAGUC
rnacentral:rRNA from 1 species